CAGUGAAGCAAAGGACUGGGUGCUGA
rnacentral:piRNA from 1 species